AUGGUGACUGGAACAGCCUCUCCCGUGGUCGGUGCUGUGAGGGUGUGCACAGCAGAGUGGUUGAUGGUGACUGGAACAGCCUCUCCCGUGGUCAGUGCUGUGAGGGUGUGCACAGCAGAGUGGUUGAUGGUGACUGUAACAGCCUCUCCUGUGGUCAGUGCUGUGAGGGUGUGCACAGCAGCAUGGCCUGAUGGAGACUGUAACAGCCUCUCCUGUGGUUGUCACUGUGAGGGUGUGCACAGCAGAGUGGUUGAUGGAGACUGUGACAGCCUCUCCCGUGGUCAGUGCUGUGAGGGUGUGCACAGCAGCCUGAUGGAGACUGUAACAGCCUCUCCUGUGGUUGUCACUGUGAGGGUGUGCACAGCAGAGUGGUUGAUGGAGACUGUGACAGCCUCUCCUGUGGUCAGUGCUGUGAGGGUGUGCACAGCAGCAUGGCCUGAUGGAGACUGUAACAGCCUCUCCUGUGGUUGUCACUGUGAGGGUGUGCACAGCAGAGUGGUUGAUGGAGACUGUGACAGCCUCUCCUGUGGUCAGUGCUGUGAGGGUGUGCAUAGCAGAGUGGUUGAUGGAGACUGUAACAGCCUCUCCCGUGGUCAGUGCUGUGAGGGUGUGCACAGCAGCCUGAUGGAGACUGUAACAGCCUCUCCUGUGGUUGUCACUGUGAGGGUGUGCACAGCAGAGUGGUUGAUGGAGACUGUGACAGCCUCUCCUGUGUUUGUCACUGUGAGGGUGUGCACAGCAGAGUGGUUGAUGGUGACUGGAACAGCCUCUCCUGUGGUUGUCACUGUGAGGGUGUGCACAGCAGCGUGGCCUGAUGGAGACUGUGACAGCCUCUCCUGUUCACUCCCUUACUUGCGGUUCCAUGACAGGCACCAGGGGGCUCCGUGACCCAUUUCCUGGCCCUGGCCUGUGUUGCUUUUGCAAAACAAGAUCCCUCUGUCAUGGAUCUCAGCUCCUCCAUGGAGCCGAACGCAAGCGUUCCCUCGCUCCUGGCCAGCCCUGGGAGUGUUACAGCAGUGAACAUUUCCCGAGGGCUCACGCUCAGCUCCUCCGCUCUUCACAGCAGCCGGGUGAGUGCAGUUCCUCCAUCCUCUGCCUUCUACACAGAGGUCAAGCAGCUUGCCCAAGGUCGUGCAGCUCCUGUCGGGCUCCCGCAUUCCCACAGGGCAGGCCACCCUGUUCUGUCUCACCUUCACGCCCUUACACACGGUCCAGUGACCCGCGCUCGGGCCUCCUGUGCUGCCUGCUCCACCGCUCGGCCCCGGGCCUGCCCCUCUGCGGGGACCUCAGACAGAAGUGCGUUCAUCUCUGGACUCUUGCAGCUCACGUAGCUCCAGCUGCUCCCCGCCCGGUGCCUCGCGUUCCCGUUCCUUUUCACGUCUUGUUUUCAGAAGGCAAUUUUAGCGCCUUUCACGUCUUCUGCGGUGAUUAGCAUUCAUUCCCACAUAGUAUGUGUUCAACAAAUCCUGGUGGUUGAUUAUGUUGCUUUAAAUGUGGGCUAUUACCUACGAAGGCAGGAUGAAUCUCCUGGAAUUGAUGUUGUGCAAAGCAAUUUGAGGAUUUCACUGUCAUAAUUCAGUUUUCCAAUACCUCCUUACUUAAUAAAUAAUUUAGCUCUAAAACA
rnacentral:lncRNA from 1 species